AUUAAGUUAAAAAGAGGAGGUGAGAGACUGAAACAUAUCUGAUGUCAUCUUAAGGAAAGUUAAGAAGCAAAUUGGUGAAGAAAUGCAGAGUGAAGAAAGUGAAUCAUUUAAUUGGUGAAUGGAAAGUCUGGAAUCAGGUUUCAGACCCAUCUUUACAAAACUCAGUGUCACACUUUGGGUCCUUGUCUCCAUCCCCACUAGUCAUUCAGUGGAGCUGAUUCAUCUAAUUCGUGGAAGACCCUUCAAGCCUGGAUCAUCAUAGUUACCAAUGGCAUAGUGAAUCUGAUGGUCAAGUGGGUCCUGAAUAUUAAAGGAGAGAUGAAGGAUCAGAAACUGAGAAAAUGAAUCUUACCUCAAGGUGUUGGAGAAGGCAAUAGAUUUUAUGACUCUGGAGAAGUGCUUUCACAUGUUUUCACCAUAAUGUGAUCCUGUGAGGACCAUCUGCUUCUCCUAACUGCCCUGGAAGAGGCAGCUAGGAACAGAUGAGCUUCUGCCUUUGGUGGGAGAGGUGUCCUGUCUGCAUCAGUAGAUAGUGAUAGUGAUAGGAGCACAUACUUCCAUGCCUUCUAACACUGUGAAGUCUCCAUGCCUCAAAUCAAACAUCUGACUCUCAAGUGAGACUUCAGGAGCUAUCACAGCUGCUUUAACGUGAUUCUGUCACCAAAGGCUAUGACAAAGGGCUUGUCACUGAGGGAGAACACACA